rnacentral:rRNA from 1 species
CCUACGGGUGGCAGCAGUGGGGAAUAUUGGACAAUGGGGGCAACCCUGACCCAGCGACGCCGCGUGAGUGAAGAAGGCUUUCGGGAUGUAAAGCUCUUUUGGCAGGGACGAAAAACGUGACGGUACCUCACUACUAAGCCACGGCUAACUACGUGCCAGCAGCCGCGGUAAUACGUAGGGGGCAAGCGUUAUCCGGAUUUACUGGGUGUAAAGGGAGCGUAGGCGGGGAUGCAAGUCAGAUGUGAAAGGCGGGGGCCCAACCCCGGGACUGCAUUUGAAACUGUAUGGCUGGAGUGCAGGAGAGGUAAGUGGAAUUCCGUGUGUAGCGGUGAAAUGCGUAGAUAUUCGGAGGAACACCAGUGGCGAAGGCGGCUUGCUGGACUGUAACUGACGAUGAGGCGCGAAAGCGUGGGGAGCAAACAGGAUUAGAUACCCCAGUAGUC